rnacentral:rRNA from 1 species
GGGGAAUUUUGGACAAUGGGCGAAAGCCUGAUCCAGCCAUGCCGCGUGCAGGAUGAAGGCCUUCGGGUUGUAAACUGCUUUUGUACGGAACGAAAAAGUCUUCUCUAAUACAGGGGGCGAAUGACGGUACCGUAAGAAUAAGCACCGGCUAACUACGUGCCAGCAGCCGCGGUAAUACGUAGGGUGCAAGCGUUAAUCGGAAUUACUGGGCGUAAAGCGUGCGCAGGCGGUUAUAUAAGACUGAUGUGAAAUCCCCGGGCUCAACCUGGGAACUGCAUUAGUGACUGUAUAGCUAGAGUGCGGCAGAGGGGGAUGGAAUUCCGCGUGUAGCAGUGAAAUGCGUAGAUAUGCGGAGGAACACCGAUGGCGAAGGCAAUCCCCUGGGCCUGCACUGACGCUCAUGCACGAAAGCGUGGGGAGCAAAC